UCGCCUGUUUAUCAAAAACAUUUCUUCUUGAUUUUAAUCUGAAGUAUGACCUGCCCGCUGAUUAAUAUUGAAGGGCCGCGGUAUUGUGACCGUGCGAAGGUAGCAUAAUCAUUAGUUUUUUAAUUGAAGGCUGGAAUGAAUGGUUGGACGAGAUAAAGGCUGUCUUGUUAUUAAUGUUUUAGAAUUUAACAUUCAAGUUAAAAGGUUUGAAUGUUGUUAUGGGACGAGAAGACCCUAUAGAGUUUAAUAAUAUGAAUACUGUAUUUGUGUUGGGUUAUUAGUUUAGAUUUUAAUAUUAUUUUGUUGGGGCGAUAGUGAGGAUAAAGUAACCCUUAUUUAUGUUAUUGGUACUGAUUUGUAUUAUUUUGAUCCAU
rnacentral:rRNA from 1 species